GACGAACGCUGGCGGCGUGCCUAAUACAUGCAAGUCGAGCGAAGUUUUUCUGGUGCUUGCACUAGAAAAACUUAGCGGCGAACGGGUGAGUAACACGUAAAGAACCUGCCUCAUAGACUGGGACAACUAUUGGAAACGAUAGCUAAUACCGGAUAACAGUAUUUCUCGCAUGAGAGAUAUUUAAAAGUUGGUUAUGCUAACACUAUGAGAUGGCUUUGCGGUGCAUUAGCUAGUUGGUGGGGUAAAGGCCCACCAAGGCGACGAUGCAUAGCCGACCUGAGAGGGUGAUCGGCCACACUGGGACUGAGACACGGCCCAGACUCAUACGGGAGGCAGCAGUAGGGAAUCUUCCGCAAUGGGCGAAAGCCUGACGGAGCAACGCCGCGUGAGUGAAGAAGGAUUUCGGUUCGUAAAGCUCUGUUGUUAGGGAAGAAUGGAUAUGUAGUAACUAUACAUGUAAGAGACGGUACCUAACCAGAAAGCCACGGCUAACUACGUG
rnacentral:rRNA from 1 species